AACGCACAUUGCGCCCUCUGGUAUUCCGGAGGGCAUGCCUGUCCGAGCGUCAUUGCAACCCUUCAAGCCCGGCUUGUGUGUUGAACGGCGGUCCCUAGCCUGGGACCGGUUCUAAAAGCAGUGGCAGCGUUCGCGACCGCGGUAGCCCGAGUGUAUGGGAAUUUCUCUAUUGCACGCUUGAAAGGCCCCGGUUAUCGCUAGCCGUGAGUUAUUUUCUUAUUGGUUGACCUCGGAUCAGGUAGGAGUACCCGCUGAACUUAA
rnacentral:misc_RNA from 1 species